GAGUUUGAUCCUGGCUCAGGAUGAACGCUAGCGACAGGCUUAACACAUGCAAGUCGAGGGGCAGCGGUGGUGAAGGCUUGCCUUUACCAGCCGGCGACCGGCGCACGGGUGAGUAACACGUAUGCAACCUGCCUGCCACAGCCGGAUAAUCGGGAGAAAUUCCGUCUAAUACGGCAUAAUGCAUCGACGGGACAUCCUGUUGGUGCCAAAGGUUGAUUCCGGUGGCGGAUGGGCAUGCGUCGCAUUAGUUAGUUGGCGGUGUAACGGACCACCAAGACGACGAUGCGUAGGGGUUCUGAGAGGAAGGUCCCCCACACUGGUACUGAGACACGGACCAGACUCCUACGGGAGGCAGCAGUGAGGAAUAUUGGUCAAUGGGAGAGAUCCUGAACCAGCCAAGUCGCGUGAGGGAUGACGGCCCUAUGGGUUGUAAACCUCUUUUGCCGGGGAGCAAAGUGCCGCACGUGUGCGGUUUGGAGAGUACCCGGAGAAAAAGCAUCGGCUAACUCCGUGCCAGCAGCCGCGGUAAUACGGAGGAUGCGAGCGUUAUCCGGAUUUAUUGGGUUUAAAGGGUGCGUAGGCGGACGCUUAAGUCAGCGGUAAAAUUGCGGGGCUCAACCUCGUCGAGCCGUUGAAACUGGGUGCCUUGAGUGGGCGAGAAGUACGCGGAAUGCGUGGUGUAGCGGUGAAAUGCAUAGAUAUCACGCAGAACUCCGAUUGCGAAGGCAGCGUACCGGCGCCCAACUGACGCUGAAGCACGAAGGCGUGGGUAUCGAACAGGAUUAGAUACCCUGGUAGUCCACGCAGUAAACGAUGAAUGCUAGUUGUCCGGGGCGAUUGAGUUCUGGGUGACACAGCGAAAGCGUUAAGCACUCCACCUGGGGAGUACGCCGGCAACGGUGAAACUCAAAGGAAUUGACGG
rnacentral:rRNA from 1 species